UGCAACUUUGGCAGCACAUGACUAAUAUUGGAAUGAUAAAGAGAAUAUUAGCAUGAUCCCAGCGUAAGGAUGACACAUAAUUAAUUUUUUAUUUUGUAUUU
rfam:Mesocricetus auratus contig070351, whole genome shotgun sequence.